AGAACGAACGUUGGCGGCGUGGAUUAGGCAUGCAAGUCGAGCGAGAACCCACCUUCGGGUGGGGGAAAGCGGCGAACGGGUGAGUAACACGUGGGCAACCCACCCUUGGUAUCGGGAUAGCCCGGGGAAACCCGGAUUAAUACCGGAUGGCCCAGCAGCUCUUCGGGGCGGCUGGAAAAGGUAGCUUCGGCCUCCGACCAAGGACGGGCCCGCGGCGGAUUAGCUUGUUGGUGGGGUAAUGGCCUACCAAGGCGACGAUCCGUAGCUGGUCUGAGAGGACGAUCAGCCACACUGGGACUGAGACACGGCCCAGACUCCUACGGGAGGCAGCAGUGGGGAAUCUUGCGCAAUGGGCGAAAGCCUGACGCAGCGACGCCGCGUGGGGGAAGAAGGCUUUCGGGUUGUAAACCCCUUUCAGGUGGGACGAAGCCACUCGGGUUAAUAGCCCAGAGGGUGACGGUACCGCCAGAAGAAGCCCCGGCUAACUACGUGCCAGCAGCCGC
rnacentral:rRNA from 1 species